GUCUUUCAUAAGAUGAUGUGUGGCGUUGUCAUCCUCGAGUUACAAUUCAUUCAUGCAAUGUACUUCUAUCUGUUGGUUAUUAACCGCCUAUGACUCAUGAUAUGAGUCUCAAUGCUGUUUAGCAUUUCACUUUUCUGCUAAUGCAUAUGAAGUCUAAAACAUGCAAAAAUGAUGAGCUUAAUAACAUAAAAUAGCCUGAGUGUUUAGGGGUGAACUUUUGGUUAACCAAAUUGAACCAAAUAUUGAGCUAACUGAAUUUUUAACUUACUCUAAAAAUAAUAACCAAAUUGAAAUUGAG
rnacentral:misc_RNA from 1 species